rnacentral:rRNA from 3 species
GGGUUGUGAGGUUAAGCGACUAAGCGUACACGGUGGAUGCCCUGGCAGUCAGAGGCGAUGAAGGACGUGCUAAUCUGCGAUAAGCGUCGGUAAGGUGAUAUGAACCGUUAUAACCGGCGAUUUCCGAAU